CCUACGGGUGGCUGCAGUGAGGAAUAUUGGUCAAUGGGCGUAAGCCUGAACCAGCCAAGUCGCGUGAGGGAUGAAGGCUCUAUGGAUCGUACACCGCUUUUAUAAGGGAAUAAAGUGCGGGACGUGUCGCGUUUUGUAGGUACCUUACGAAUAAGGAUCGGCUAACUCCGUGCCAGCAGCCGCGGUAAUACGGGGGGUCCGAGCGUUAUCCGGAUUUAUUGGGUUUAAAGGGUGCGUAGGCGGCCGUUUAAGUCAGCGGUGAAAGUCUGUGGCUCAACCAGAGCAUCGCCGUUGAAACUGGGAGUCUUGAGUAUGUUUGAGGCAGGCGGAAUGCGUGGUGUAGCGGUGAAAUGCUUAGAUAUCACGCAGAACCCCGAUUGCGAAGGCAGCCUGCCAAGCCAUGACUGACGCUGAUGCACGAAGGCGUGGGGAUCAAACAGGAUUAGAUACCCCAGUAGUC
rnacentral:rRNA from 1 species